UACUUAAUGUGAUUAUCUUAGAAC
rnacentral:piRNA from 1 species